AUUGAACGCUGGCGGCCGGCCUAACACAUGCAAGUCGAACGAGUUGCGGACGGGUGAGUAAUGUCUGGGAAACUGCCCGAUGGAGGGGGAUAACUACUGGAAACGGUAGCUAAUACCGCAUACAAUCGGAUGUGACCAGAUGGGAUUUUCUAGUAGGUGGGGUAACGGCUCACCUAGGCGACGAUCCCUAGAUGGUCUGAGAGGAUGACCAUCCUCCUUGAAACUAGACAACGGUCCAGACUCCUACGGUAGGCAGCAGUGGGGAAUAUGGAAGAAUGGGCGCAAGCCGUAGGGAGCCAUGCUGCGUGUAUGAAGAAGGCCUUCGGGUUGUAAAGUACUUGCUGCGAGGAGGCGUUACGCGCAGAAGAAGCACCGACUAACUCCGGUCCAGCAGCCGCGGUAAUAC
rnacentral:rRNA from 1 species